ensembl:lncRNA
UUUUUUUUUUUCCAGAAAUAAUUCAGUAACCUGGGUUUGUUGCAGCAAAGAAAGUAACAGUGCAAACUGUAUUUCACCUAAAGCUGAGUCUAUCUGGACUAUCAUCACGAUUUUUUAUUAAACUAACACAUUUUUAGAGAUAAUUGGUUCAAAUAAGUCAAACCCAAAACUGCACUGGUCAUCACUUUUAUCAGCAAGUGUCAUGUGCUUUUAAAUUUGUUAGCCUCUUUUAUGAAGACUCCUGGACAGGGAUAGGUUUCUUUCUCAUACUUUUGCAGGUAACAUUUCCUCUCAUUUCAUAUCCAAAUGAUGUGAAGUCCUCUCGAAAUUUUCCACUAAAAGAAAGGAAAACAUUUCUUUUCUCCACACUGACCAGAGUGGCUGAUAGCAGAGACUUCACUUCUGAGAGAGAGAAGUCCAACCCCAAAUCUAAACAGAGUACUCCUAGGACAUGAACCCAGGUUAUUCCCGGUAGCUGAUCCAGCUCUCUUCGUCCCUUAUAGUAUUACACCGCAAAAAAACUUCACUGUGAAAAUUUGAUUGAAGCUAUUGUGCUCCUACUGGUUCUUCUUGCUUCCAUGAACUGUCAUUUUCUAGCAAGGAAAUUGUAGUACAGUGGCAUCUGAAACUCUUUAGAAGUAGCAGUCCUAUGUAGCUACUUAUUUCUCUCAACAGACUGUUAUCGAGUGAGUUGACAGCUAUCUCUGAUGCAGGCAUUGCAGAUGCCUGUAGUUUGAAAAAAGGAAUCUCAGCCUGUUCAAAGCUGAAUCACACUCUAUGUACCCAUGAAUGAGUCUUUGAGAUAUAGGACAAUCUAGAAAGCUCUAUUUCAGACAUAUUUCAUGGAUGAAAAUCAUUUUUCUGCCUACACUCACUCUCUACUGAAUCAAUCAGCAGUCUUCAGUACUCCUGAAGAAGAAUUAGACCUUUGAUAUGAAAAGAGAACAUUCUGGCAGAACACAGAGUGCCUAAUAUUCAUGAACCACUAUUAUUUUGCCUUUUCAUUUAAAUAGAGAUCUCCUUGUACCUUGCUCAGAUGGCAUAUUCGGUGCCUCAGGCAAGCCUAUGCAGUUGGCUCUACAGCUUGAAAAGACCUUGGCUACAUUACAAGUGUCAUAUUUUCUCACAGAUAAAUUGUUCUUUAGCAUUGCCUAAGUAAUAGGGUUUCCAUCAGUAUCAGUUUUGCAUACCUCCUUCCCCUUUUUCAUCUCCCUUUUAUCAUACAGACGCAUUAACUGUGAGCAUUGCAAAGAAGCUCUAUUUAUGUUUUAGUUCCCCUGAGUCCCUCUUGCCAUCUCCAAGGGAAUGGAUGGCAUACAGGAUCAAGUUCCAUAUUCCACCCUCAUGUCUUUUUUUAGCACCUGCUUUAAAGAAUCCAAGGCCACAGUGCAACAGACAAGGUUUACUGAGUGUGUACAGCACUUGUUAUGCAGUAGGAUGGUGACCGAAACGAGCUGUGCUCUCCCAAUAUGCCCACUUCGGCCAUCCAUUCCUACAAGUCCUGAGACUUGUGAGGAGUCAGCUGAGGUGAUGGAAUGGAAUUUGUGCAUGUACAGGUGGCAGAGAAGUGGGUUUGCAAAUUCCCAGUAAGGAGCUGACUUAGAUGCACCAACAAGAAAUUCAUUUACUUUUGUUUGGCUACAUAAUCUCUGUUAUUAAAUCUACAUUUUCUCUUUUGCAGUUCUGAGAAAGGACAGUUUGACACUAAUAUACAGCCACUUUUAUCCCAAAAGAAUGUUUUCCUCCUAAUUAAAAUCCGUUUCUCUGUUUAAAUGAUUCCCUUGAUGACACGAAUUAUACAUGGCAUGAAUGGCAGGGCAUCAGGCUGUAAUGUCCUGAAGAGACACAUGGAGCAAGGCCAUGCAGGGUUAUUACUUCUCUUUUGGACAGCACACCCUACUCUCUCCUCCCUAGACAAAAUAUUUCAAUCUUGCUUUGUGAAAUCCUGACUUAAAAUCCUCCCUGCCCUCAGCAGCCAGCCCCUCUCUGCUGCAGGAACUUGGCUAUGACUAUUCUUCACCCCACGUGCCCUCCAGUCUGAGCUACCCUGCCCAGCACCACUCCAGCCAAAGUCCCAGCUUCUCACCCCAUAUCUGUACAGCAUCUGGCACUGAGGACAAAUAUAGCAAAAAGGUACUAUGGCAGCCUUCCUCACCAGCUCCCAAAGCUGAAAAACUUGAGGAAUCCAGACAUUGUGAUUGAUCUGUUUCUUUAGGUAGGUUUUGAAUAAAUUGCAGCUGUCCAAUGCUGGGUGAGAGUAGAAGAGUUUGUUACCCUACCCACAUCUACAACAAAAAUCAACCCAAGAUUUACCAGAAUAGGGAAAGCCACAUGAGCACAGGCUGAUGCUUGCAAUACCUGCAGCAUCCAGCUUUCUCCAGACAGAUGACACCAGUUAAGAAAGCCAACAAAUUGCACAGAUUUUUCUGUUUCGACUCCCAGCAAUACAUUAUUGCUGAUGGGGACUAGGUUGAGGGUAACAACUAACCAACCAAAGGAAACUUUAGCAAAUGUGCAGUAACAUGGCUGCAGCCCAAGUCGCCAUUCAGAGUGUAAUUCCACUCCAUUGAGGACUCAGCAGGAUUGGUUGCAGCAGAUGAACAAGUCACUCUGUUAUCCUGAAGUGUGACAAAUGCCACUGCAAUGCUGCCUGGAGAAGAAGGGACUGAACACAAGUUUCAAGCCCAAUUGCUACCUGAGAAAGCUGGAGAAAAAGAGUGUCAGCACUCUGCCAGAAAAUGUUGAGGGUGCAAGCACAGUGGGAUUUGGGUUCCCUCCACUGCAAUCCAAUGGACUUUAGACAAAUCACUUUGGGUAUGUCUAUAUUAAGAGAGUGAAGGCUCAAAACACCUCAACAAUUCCUCUGGGGCCUCUCUAGGCCAGGAAGAAGAAGCAAGAGAGAAGUGCAAAGCAAACUUUAGCUCACUGCUGGCGUUUGGGAGUGUAUUUCCUUUUGAUAUAACAUCUCAGGCAGAGUUCUGCAUCAGCAUUUCCAUAUUUUAUGAGCCUCAGACUGUUAUAUCCCUGCAACACCACCCAAGCUCACCUAAUUGGAAUGAAAUCAAAAAUAAAAACCAAAAAACCAUAACCUUUUGAUGUUCCCAAGCGGAAAGUGGUAUAAAAGCCCCCAAGAAAUACCUUGCAUGGCAUGAUAGUCACUGAAUGUUUUUUUUCUUUCAUACUGAAUGGAAAGAUGGAAUUCCCAAAGGGUAUCAACUGCAACCCAGCACAGCAGAAGUGUAAUUUGUCAAACAACAACACAGUGAAAUAUUUCACAGCUGAAACUAUAUUAACAUGACAGAAUCUGAAGCCAGUUAACACUUCUCAUUAGAAUUUUACUUCAGCGUAACUCUUGAGCAAAAUGCCCUUAGCCCAAACAAACAUUUUUCAUGUUUCUUGAAACACCACAAAUGUUGCCAUCUACCUCCUUUCCCUGUCAUGCUCCCUUCGUGAGAAAAGUUCAAAGCCACAAGUUAAUAUUUGAGUCUCUCUUUGAGUAGCAGAGGUCAAGACAUCUACCAGCCAUGCAUUCCGAAGCAGAACUCUUGCAGUCUACUUGCAGCCAUACAGCGAGUAGCCAGUUUUUCUCUUGGACUGUAAUUACAUCUCUUAGGGAGAUAAAUCAACAUUAAUGCAGGGUCAGGCUAUGACACGGGAACUCAUCAUAACAUACAGUUUGCUCCUAAGUUCAGGUUCUGCGUGACUCAAAUUGAAUAACAAAUAAUAUAUGGAAAGUGGCACGCUGUAUGUAAAAAGCUUGUGAGCUGAAGAAGCAGCUACAUUCACAGCAAAUCUCGAGCACUGUCAGUCAUGCAUAGAGCUCAGCUACUUGGUGUGACAGUCAUUACAAGACGGGAGUUUUACAGGCACUUUAAUGCUGUCCUCAAACAGUUACUUGCUGACAAAUCAACAGUGUGUGGUCAGGUAAGGUGCCAUUCAUAUGUGCUCUGGGACUACUGAGUAGGUGUUGGCUGGCUAACCCUCCAUAAGGUUUAUUCAGUAGAGGCAGUAAAGCUCUAGUAUUUAUAACAUUACUAUCUGCACACAUUUAAGUCUUGCUUAUUGCUGCAUUUUUAUCUCAGGGAUCACUCAAAGAAACCAGAAUUUUGCAGCUUGUUUUAUUCAGAACGAGGGUGGUUUCUGCUGUGUUGUUGGUACAUCUUUGCCUUCACCAGGACAGAACAAAGUGUUUCUUGAAGAGAUGAUGAAUCAACAUCAGAGUCUGCCCAAGCGUAAAGGACCAGUGCAAAACACUUUCUGACUUCCUGUGGUAUGUUCAGUAUCUUUUUACCUUAAUCUAACCAAGGGUAUUUGUGAAUCUAGUCACCACUUCCAAGGCCACUUAAUACUCAGCCCUAAAUGCUUUCUCCCCUUAGCCAGGCUAUCACAUUGAAUUGGGUGUUCAGAAGUCUGCUUCUGUCCAGGGUGUGGACCCCUGGAAUCAUAGACAUAUGGGCACUAUAUAGCAUAAGCACAGCCAGUCUGCCUCAUGUGGGAUGGAUGGGGCUCACUGUCCCAGGGCUGCACAACCAGCCAGGUAUGUCGGUGGUGCAAAAGACACGAGGUGGGCAGUAAUGCUCAAUGGCUUGUCUAGGAUUCCUGCAUGUAAAGCAGCUCAGGCGGAGUGACUCUUUCAGGAGGACUGGGUAGAGCAAAGAAGUUGAAUUUGUUUUCCCUGAGCCCUGAGAAGGUGCCACAAACAUCAGCCAUUCUUUCCUGAGGAUAAUGAAUUGCACUUUUAUACUCACCACUCAUUCACUGCAGAUCGUUAUGUAAACUAUUUGUGACACUUGCAACAUGACAAAGCCACAAAGCCUAAAUGCGCUGUCACUCUAAAGGUCCCAAUGGAGACGAACCAAAACCAUAGCUCUGAAUAACCUCAGAUCACCCUAGUCCUGAGGGAAAUGAUGAGCAGAGAGGGCUGGCAGCAACACGAACCAGAUGUCAGACAAGACCCUCCCCAUACUCUUUUCUCACUAGGACCACAGAGUAUUUUCCCUCCCUUUCUCCCCCCUGAGGCUUUUCAUCUUUUUUCUUUUUUUGCAAACAGCUGAGAAUUACUGUAUCCCCACAGCAGUUUUUCCAUGACAGGAUGCUAAGCACUACCUAAAGUCCUUCUGUGGAUCCAACAAGUGGAUCGAUGCAAUAGGAAAGCAGAAGCAUCAGAGGAUGAAAGCUGGCAAGCCUCCCUGGGCCAUUGAAGGCUUUUUGGGCUCAGCUGCUUGCUCUGUCAGAGACAACCAUCCCACAACAUCAGCAGGAGAGGCACUCAGCCCCAGCUCCCUCACUGCCAAUCCAGCAGUGCCGGGCCAAAAGGGCCAUCCAGCCAUUAAAAGGCAGAUCCCACAGACCACCCCAAAGCUAAUCCUGUUGUUUUGUCACCUCCCUGCAGAACUGUUUUCCUCACUGUUUUCUCACUGGACUGCAGACUGUUUAUUCUUACGUAUGCUGUUUCCUCUUGUGCAAAGAAACUGAAUAUAGCAACAAAACUUCCAGUAUAAACUUACUGUUCUUGCUACCAGGCACUCUGCCAAAUAAUCACUGAAACUCGGAAGGGACAGGUAAUAAAACAUAGGAGAAAUAUGCAGGUGAAUUCCAUAUUCACUUAUCCUCAGUAGUGAUAUUAUCACUAACAGUGAUAGUGAGCUACAAGUGAUCCAUUGCUUUGCCAGAUAUAAAUAAGGGCUGGGCUUGACAUGCUUUUGAAUGAAGCCUCUAGUUUGGCAAUCAAAGUGUCUUGAGUGCAUCCGCCACCCACACUUUAACCCAUUGCUAGUGUAGUCCUGACACAAGCGCAGUAGCAACAGCUGAAUGUGAAAUGCCUGUACAUCCAGAUAUAUCAAAGUGAACCAGUCUUGAUCCCAGAGAGUGGUAAUUGACCUCAGGCAUAGGAGCCAGGAGGCUUAAACAUGACAUUUUGGUAAUUGCAGCUUUUCUCAGCAGCAGCAGGGGAAGGGAAACAUUUAUUGCAUGCUCCUAGAAAUUCUUAGCAAUCAAAGCC